UGCCAGCAGCCGCGGUAAUACGAAGGGGGCUAGCGUUGUUCGGAAUUACUGGGCGUAAAGCGCGCGCAGGCGGUUUGCCAAGUUGAGAGUGAAAUCCCAGGGCUCAACCCUGGAACUGCUUUCAAAACUGGCAGACUAGAGUAUGGUAGAGGACAGUGGAAUUCCUAGUGUAGAGGUGAAAUUCGUAGAUAUUAGGAGGAACACCAGUGGCGAAGGCGACUGUCUGGGCCAUUACUGACGCUGAGGCGCGAAAGCGUGGGGAGCAAACAGGAUUAGAUA
rnacentral:rRNA from 1 species